AAGUCGUAACAAGGUUUCCGUAGGUGAACCUGCGGAAGGAUCAUUAACACGUAUCCAAACGUAAAAAACCCCCCCCGUGAACAUUCAAUCCUGCUCUUGUAACCCGCGUAGUUCGCAAUCUCUGGUAAAUCAUAGCCCGGAAAGUAGUUUUGAUUCAGAGACCUCUGGCUACGUGAGAACAUUGGAACAGUUACAAUCGAGCGGUAGUUUCAUAGGCAUUGUUUCCCCAAGCAGUUAGUGUCUGAAAGUGUCACUGAUUGUGCAAGGAUAGCGCUUCAACGAUUCCUGUAGACCGUACACUCGGGCAGGAGCUAUGCCAAAGGGUCCCGAAGCUCAAUGUAAUACAUUGGGUAAAAAAACCGAACAACUGUUAACAAUGGAUAUCUUGGUUCUC
rnacentral:misc_RNA from 1 species